rnacentral:lncRNA from 1 species
AGAAUGUGUAUCUGCCAUGGUCAAUGUCAUUUCAGAAGUUUGUAAGGGCUAUUCCUUGAAGCUUACACCUGCCCCCCUCAAUGUGACUAACAAGUCUUUUCAGUUAGUAACAUACUUGCUGAGGGUUUGACAACAAAGACUUAAUGAAGAUUGUGAUAAAUUCACACAGACACCCAAGUAAAUGUAAGCAUCCACAGAAAUGAGGAAGAUGUGUCAGCCAUGGAACAGAGAGAAGGUACAGAGAGAAGGUAUACCAGGACCAACCACAGAAGAGGAGAAAAGAGACAAGGAAGAUAGAGAGAAGCCAGGUUGAUGAAGGAGUUAAAUACCAUGAAGGAAUUUAGGCAUUGUCUUACACGAUGAAGUGCCACUAACGGGAACCAAGCUGAGAAAUAACAUGCCUUGGUUGUGGUUUAUAUCAAGUAUUCUGUGUUUUAUGUAAAGUAUUCUGACUGCAGUGUAUGAGAAUAAAUUUAAGGAAGACAGCCCAGUGAAGAAACUUUUGCUGUGCUCUACGUGGGAGAUGACAAAGACUCAAUUUUAUUUUAUUUAAAUUUUAAUUAUUUUAUUUAUUUUGAAACAGAAUCUCACUCUAUCACCCAGGCUAGAGUGCAGCUGCACUGUCUCGUCUCACUACAACCUCUGCCUCCAAGGUUCAAGCAAUUCUCAUGCCUCAGCCUCCCAAGUAGCUGGGAUUACAGGCAUGCACCACCAUACUUGGCUAUUUUUUCUAUUUUUAGUAGAGAAAAGUUUUCACUAC